GGGGUGGAGCUCAGUGGUAGAGCACUUGUCCAGCAUGCAUGCACAAGGCCCUGGGUUCAGUUCCUAGUACCGCA
rnacentral:tRNA from 1 species